AUUGAACGCUGGCGGCAGGCCUAACACAUGCAAGUCGAACGAGUGGCGGACGGGUGAGUAAUGUCUGGGAAACUGCCCGAUGGAGGGGGAUAACUACUGGAAACGGUAGCUAAUACCGCAUACCAUCGGAUGUGCCCAGAUGGGAUUAGCUUGUAGGUGAGGUAACGGCUCACCUAGGCGACAAUCCCUAGCUGGUCUGAGAGGUUGACCAGCCACACGGGAACUGAGACACGGUCCAGACUCCUACGGGAGGCAGCAGUGGGGAAUAUUGAACAAUGGUCGCAGGCCUGAUGCAGCCAUGGCGCGUGUAUGAAGAAGGCCUUCGGGUUGUAAAGUACUUGCAGCGGGGAGGCGUUACCCGCAGAAGAAGCACCGGCUAACUCCGUGCCAGCAGCCGCGUUAAUAC
rnacentral:rRNA from 1 species